AGCGAACGCUGGCGGCAGGCCUAACACAUGCAAGUCGAACGAAGCCUUCGGGCUUAGUGGCGGACGGGUGAGUAACACGUGGGAACGUACCUUUUGGUUCGGAAUAACGCAGAGAAAUUUGCGCUAAUACCGAAUGAGCCCUUCGGGGGAAAGAUUUAUCGCCGAAAGAGCGGCCCGCGUUGGAUUAGGAAGUUGGUGUGGUAAAGGCGCACCAAGCGUACGAUCCAUAGCUGGGCUGAGAGGAUGAUCAGCCACACUGGGAGGGAGACACGGCCCAGACUCCUACGGGAGGCAGCAGUGGGGAAUCUUGCGCAAUGGGCGAAAGCCUGACGCAGCCAUGCCGCGUGAAUGAUGAAGGUCUUAGGAUUGUAAAAUUCUUUUACCAGGGACGAUAAUGACGGUACCUGGAGAAAAAGCCCCGGCUAACUUCGUGCCAGCAGCCGCAGUAAAAC
rnacentral:rRNA from 1 species